AUGCAAGUCGAACGCAGUAGCAAUACUGAGUGGCAGACGGGUGAGUAACAUGUGGGAAUCUGCCUUGUGGUUCAGGACAACAUUGGGAAACCGAUGCUAAUACUGGAUAAGCCCUUACGGGGAAAGUUUUAAUGCCAUAAGAUGAGCCCGCAUUUGAUUAGUUAGUUGGUGAGGUAAUGGCUCACCAAGACAAUGAUCAAUAGCUGAUCUGAGAGGAUGAUCAGCCACACUGGGACUGAGACACGGCCCAGACUCCUACGGGAGGCAGCAGUGGGGAAUCUUGCACAAUGGAGGAAACUCUGAUGCAGCGAUGCCGCGUGAGUGAAGAAGGCCUUUGGGUUGUAAAGCUCUUUUGUAGGGGAAGAUAAUGACUGUACCCUAAGAAUAAGGUCCGGCUAACUUCGUGCCAGCAGCCGCGGUAAUACGAAGGGACCUAGCGUAGUUCGGAAUUACUGGGCGUAAAGCGCGCGUAGGCCGUUGAGUUAGUUAAUUGUGAAAUCCCAAAGCUUAACUUUGGAACUGCAAUUAAAACUGCUCGACUAGAGUUUGAUAGAGGAAAGCGGAAUACAUAGUGUAGAGGUGAAAUUCGUAGAUAUUAUGUAGAACACCAGUUGCGAAGGCGGCUUUCUGGAUCAACACUGACGCUGAGGCGCGAAAGUAUGGGUAGCAAAGAGGAUUAGAUACCCUCGUAGUCCAUACCAUAAACGAUGAUUGCUAGAUGUUGGAAAUUUAUUUUCAGUAUCGCAGCUAACGCAUUAAGCAAUCCGCCUGGGGAGUACGACCGCAAGGUUAAAACUCAAAUGAAUUGACGGGGACCCGCACAAGCGGUGGAGCAUGUGGUUUAAUUCGAAGAUACGCGCAGAACCUUACCAACCCUUGACAUGUCUGUCGCGAGUUUAGGAAACUAGACUUUUCGGUUCGGCCGGACAGAACACAGGUGCUGCAUGGCUGUCGUCAGCUCGUGUCGUGAGAUGUUGGGUUAAGUCCCCGCACGAGCGCAACCCCUACUUU
rnacentral:rRNA from 1 species